rnacentral:rRNA from 1 species
AGAGUUUGAUCCUGGCUCAGGACGAACGCUGGCGGCGUGCUUAACACAUGCAAGUCGAACGGAAAGGCCCUUCGGGGUACUCGAGUGGCGAACGGGUGAGUAACACGUGGGUGAUCUGCCCUGCACUUUGGGAUAAGCCUGGGAAACUGGGUCUAAUACCGAAUAUGACCACGCUCUUCAUGGGGUGUGGUGGAAAGCUUUUGCGGUGUGGGAUGGGCCCGCGGCCUAUCAGCUUGUUGGUGGGGUAAUGGCCUACCAAGGCGACGACGGGUAGCCGGCCUGAGAGGGUGACCGGCCACACUGGGACUGAGAUACGGCCCAGACUCCUACGGGAGGCAGCAGUGGGGAAUAUUGCACAGUGGGCGCAAGCCUGAUGCAGCGACGCCGCGUGAGGGAUGACGGCCUUCGGGUUGUAAACCUCUUUCACCAGGGACGAAGCGCAAGUGACGGUACCUGGAGAAGAAGCACCGGCCAACUACGUGCCAGCAGCCGCGGUAAUACGUAGGGUGCGAGCGUUGUCCGGAAUUACUGGGCGUAAAGAGCUCGUAGGUGGUUUGUCGCGUUGUUCGUGAAAACUCACAGCUUAACUGUGGGCGUGCGGGCGAUACGGGCAGACUAGAGUACUGCAGGGGAGACUGGAAUUCCCGGUGUAGCGGUGGAAUGCGCAGAUAUCAGGAGGAACACCGGUGGCGAAGGCGGGUCUCUGGGCAGUAACUGACGCUGAGGAGCGAAAGCGUGGGGAGCGAACAGGAUUAGAUACCCUGGUAGUC